AGUUGAAUUCCAGAUCUUCGAAACGAUUAAACGAAAUUUUCAUUUUUUUUUUUUUUUUGUACAUUAUAACCUUUUGCAAAAGAGCAAAAACACAUGUAGGUGGAUGUUUUUUUUUACUAGUUAAGAGUUUAAUGCCUCCUUGCUGAACACACACGCUAACAGUCUGCCAUAUUGGAAAAGAAAAAUGUUUAUAAAUAACUUGGCACGAACGCACGGCGUGUCUAGUUAUGAUUGCUCCAGUAAACGUCCGUUCAAGGAAGAUGUUUCAAACUCAAUUUUUACGCAGUUUCCACUUCACCCGAGUGCAAAUUACCGAAAAUUUUAAUUGGGUUUCCGGCACAAAUAACACGUGAUCGUUUUAAUUGACUUCCGCGCAUUGGUGCAAUUAGAACGUAUCAAUGUUUUACUUCAUUUCUUCCGUUGGGCCGUGGUUUUAAUUUCAAGGAUAUGGUCUAAAUGCUUCGAACCUAUCCAGUUUUAUAUUAUGACCAUUUUGUGACAUGUCGUCAAUUUUUUUCAUAAAAAAACUAAACUCAUCAGUAAGCAAUUAUGCCAAACUUGGAUCUCCAAACUGAUGCUGAUCUAUAUUAAUAAUGACAAAGAUUUCUUUACAGUCUAAAUCCGAUAUUCUUAAAAACGCAUUUCUGAAUUUCUUUACAAAGAGCAAUUUUGGCGUAACAGGUCGACCUGUUUACUUUUCCUUUCUUCUUCUUUUUCUUUAUUAUUUAUUUAUUUAUUUUUUUCAAUUUUGCUUGGGUGACAUAUUGCCAUAAAAACUUGACCUGUUCCAAUUCUUCUCUGCAAAACAUUUCCUGUUUCGUUUCCUCUAUAUCAGAUUUAAAACAAAAGGAACAAUGUAGUAACAAAAUGUGUCCUCACCCGCCUUUAAGGAACAGCAGGAAACGUAACCGAAUGCACAGUUAAAAUAAAAGAAAAUUAGUUUUCUUUUUUGCGUUUCGAAAAUAACAAGAUGGAGAUAAUUUCUCAGAUUCCUGGAAAUCGACACGGACCAGGAUCUGAGAUGCGGCUACUGGGUACAAUCAAGGUAGUUGUACUCUCAUUUUAUGCGGGACUAUAAAAAUGCUACCAAAUCUGACAGGUUAUCCACGAUAUGACCCAUUGCGGGGUCAAGGCCAUCUUCUAAUCAGUGCCUCUCAACGGACGUGAACCGAAUUAGGAUAUAGAUGGCCGACGUUCACGUGGGAUGCUUUCUAGUUAAUUAUUCUUUAGGUGGCACUCGCAGCCACCUAGAGAGAUGAGUCACGUUUCGCUGCGCCCUGUGUGAUGCAGUCAUUCUAACUUACUACUGACCUAUAUCCGGCACUUCCAAGCCCGUUUUUCUCCCCCCUCCCAUUCGUACUUAGGACCUACAGUCUACCAAACGAAGCAUUUUAGUUAAAACCCCAGAUUACAAUAACCUAAGACGAUCUCCUCUCCAGAGACCAUCCCUUAACCAUAAAAAAAGAGAUAACUACUUUCCGUUUUUAAGGAGAUUUUGAUUAAUUGAUGGCCAUAAAUAAGAGGGAAUGCACCAAUUUCGGGCACAGUACCUCCCAAGUCGAGUGCACAUAACCUGAACGCUUUUAAGCAGCAAUUUUUAGAAUUCUUUUUUUGUUGUCUUCCAUUGAAGAUAUAUGAAUUGGGUCAAAUUCCUCCAAUGUAUUUUGUGUUUUUCUUUCGCAGUUCUAUUGAAUUUGGUGCAUUUUAAUGAACUCGAACAAAAUAAUGGACAAAAUCGCCACUGCCAAGAAAAGAACAUUCCAAUUGUUCCUUCACCUAUUCAUAAAUUUGGACAGCCUUCUUUCGCCGCGUGUAUAUACAUGUGUGUAUAUAUAUUUGUAGCUCCUAAUUAUCUCACGUAAACGUUACCGAAAACCUGUUCCCGUAACAAAAUUGGUGACACUUCCCACAAGAGAUAACCAACCUUGACUUAGAAUAGUAAAAAAGUUUUUUCUUUCUUUCUUUCUCAAAGUAAAAGGACAGUCAAACAGCUGCGACUGGAACAUAAAGAGAAAGAAAAACAUCACCGCUCUAACCUGUUCUAAUUUACUAAUCAGUAAAUUUGUUUAUGGAUAUGUGAUGAAAAUCCUUGAAGUGUUUAGAUCAGAUAAUAUUUUUUUUUUUUUUUAAUUAAUAAGAAACCAGAUAUUUUAAAAGGCUGCUUAACUCUGAGAACGUGUGAAACUCUGUUGCAAAAACAAAAAAAAAAAAAAAUGUCUGUUGUCAUAAAAGUUUCCGUUCAUGUCUACUAAAAUGGGGAUUUGUGUGGCUUUAGUAACAAUAACUUCACUUUCUGUGGAGAAAUUCCUCUCCUUUUAUUUUACUUCUUUAGUAAUAAAACUUGUAAUAGUUGCUUCAUAUUGAUUUAAUUCUUUUUUCGAUUUUUUUUACUUCUUUAGCAAUAAAAAAUACCUCAUGUAAGUUUAAUUCAUCUCUUUCGACGAACAAAAGCAUUCACAUUUUGACUUCUAUAGUAAUAAAACCAGAGGUUCUUCGUGUCUGUUUGCCUGUGAC
rnacentral:lncRNA from 1 species